UGGGGAAUCUUGGACAAUGGGCGCAAGCCUGAUCCAGCCAUGCCGCGUGGAUGAUGAAGGCCUUAGGGUUGUAAAAUCCUUUCGUUGGGGACGAUAAUGACGGUACCCAAAGAAGAAGCUCCGGCUAACUUCGUGCCAGCAGCCGCGGUAAUACGAAGGGGGCUAGCGUUGUUCGGAUUUACUGGGCGUAAAGCGCGUGUAGGCGGAUUUGUAAGUUGGGGGUGAAAUCCCGAGGCUCAACCUCGGAACUGCCUCCAAAAACUACAAGUCUGGACCUAAGUAGAGGCAAGUGGAAUUGCGAGUGUAGAGGUGAAAUUCGUAGAUAUUCGCAGGAACACCAGUGGCGAAGGCGACUUGCUGGACUUAUGGUNACGCUGAGACGCGAAAGCGUGGGGAGCAAACAGGAUUAGAUACCCCAGUAGUCCCUGAGCGGGCUGGCAAGGCGCAU
rnacentral:rRNA from 1 species